UAGGCCCUGAAUCAAGGCCAACAACUUGUUGUAGCUGUUGGUUUCAAACAGCGGCCAAAAUCAAAGUCUUCUUGUGGUCCGUUGACUUUCCCAAAUUUCCCAGAUGGGAGAAGUCAGUUCAGUUAGAAGAAACAGAG